rnacentral:rRNA from 1 species
AUUGAACGCUGGCGGCAGGCCUAACACAUGCAAGUCGAGCGAGCGGCGGACGGGUGAGUAAUGUAUGGGGACUGCCCGAUAGAGGGGGAUAACUACUGGAAACGGUAGCUAAUACCGCAUACUAUCGGAUAACCCAUAUGGGAUUAGCUAGUAGGUGAGGUAAUGGCUCACCUAGGCGACGAGCCCUAGCUGGUCUGAGAGGAUGAGCAGCCACACUGGGACUGUGAAACGGCCCAGACUCCAACGGAGGCAGCAGUGGGGAAUAUCGCACAAUGGGCGCAGGCCUGAUGCGGCACGGCCGCGUGUAUGAAGAAGGCCUUAGGGUUGUAAAGUACGUUCAGACGGGAGGCGUUACCGACAGAAGAAGCACCGGCUAACUCCGUGCCAGUAGCCGCGGUAAUUC